ensembl:miRNA pma-mir-27b pma-mir-27b
UCCGGUGAAGGGCUUAACCCACCUGUGAGCAGCGCUUUACGAUAAGUGUUCACAGUGGCUAAGUUCUGCAUCUGU